UGAGGAAUAUUGGUCAAUGGGCGGUAGCCUGAACCAGCCAAGUCGCGUGAAGGAAGAAGGAGCUAUGGUUCGUAAACUUCUUUUGCAGGGGAAUAAAGUGCAGGACGUGUCCUGUUUUGUAUGUACCCUGAGAAUAAGGAUCGGCUAACUCCGUGCCAGCAGCCGCGGUAAUACGGAGGAUCCGAGCGUUAUCCGGAUUCAUUGGUUUUAACGAGUCCGUAGGCGGACUUAUAAGUCAGUGGUGAAAGCCUGUCGCUUAACGAUAGCAAGGCCAUUGACACUGUAAGUCUUGUGUAUAUUUGAGGUAGCUAUAAUAAGUAGUGUAGCUGUGAGAUGCAUAGAUAUUACGUAGAACUCCAAUUGCGAAGGCAGGUUACCAAGAUAUAACUGACGCUGAG
rnacentral:rRNA from 1 species